rnacentral:tRNA from 1 species
UGAUGCUGGAGGAGGGCGUCGUCGCCGAGGCCCAGGACAUCGACCUGUGCCUGCUGACGGGCGCGGGCUGGCCGUUCCAUCUGGGCGGCAUCAC